GCGUUGAAGUGAGAGUCAUGCAGUUCACCGGGCCUAGUCUGCGUAGAGAUAUUUACACGCCAUUUAACACAUUAAGGACUUGCUAAAUUGUCAUCGCACUACAUUCUGUCUAUUUCCGGGUGAAAUCACAGCUCAGAAGUUCGGGUGUUUGUGGACUGUUGACAAAAUAGCGGUUACGUGUGGAAAGGGAGGGUGUACAAAGCAAACAGGGAAAAAAAAUCGAGCGAUCGCUUGUUUCUCUCAGCCUGCUGAAAGAAGCAGGAAGCGAACUAGAGCUGUUCACCUACACCGUUUCGAAUGAAAGACUGCAGUGGACAUUUGAAGGGGAAGAGAGCUCAGCUUUUGCCUUCUUACUGUGAUUGAAACCUGACCGGUAUUUGGAGUUCAAUCCGAGACGCGGACAGUUAACUUUUAACAUUUCGUUUCGGUGAAUUCUAUAGAACUGGCGUCGGACAUUCCAUUCCAGUUGGAAUAACGUGUUCUAAAGAUGCAGCAUCCUCUUCAUCCCAUCAUGGAGCAGGCUGAGAUAUAAGAGACUGUAGAGACAGCAGCUUUUAGGAAAUGCCGGGUUUUUCGGUAGUGGGCGGAACCACUGCACAAAUGGCAAUCAGGUGCUCACCUAUUAUCGUCCUUUUUUGAUUUCAGCGAAUCAGUUAGAGCGAAC
ensembl:lncRNA